rnacentral:lncRNA from 1 species
ACUAGUUAAGUCGUUCUUUACUAUAUCAUAAAAAAAUUGGUAAAACAGAGCUGUCAUCCCAUCUGGUCCGUGAGCUUUCUCAGGAACUCAUUAACCAUACUAGUUAAGUCCCUCUUGACUUUCCAUUCAGUCACAUGAGUUGUAAGAUCAUCAUUGAUCGUGUCCGUGAAAGUCAUAAUAAUAUUAGCUAGUGCUUCAUCUAUCUUUUCCGGAUUUGAUGAUUCGAAAAUGCGCCUAAAAUAACUAGUAGCAAUGCUACCAUCACUUCUUCAUC